AUGAAAGUUAAAUUCAUUAGACUACAGAAAAAAAAGUAUAAGAUUACACACAUCAGUCAUAAGUGUCCAACAAGUGACCGAUAAAACAAGGUGUGCUUAUCCCUUGUCACCGAAUACCAGUUCUUGAGAGACAAAACUGGAAGAGAAUAUGUAAGUAAGGAACCACAAGAUUUCAUCAAGGGUCCAACAGAUAACCAGUUCAGUGGUACCAAAUACACCCAACCCGGUUCUACCGGUGCAGAUUCAAUCCUGGAGAUAAUGAUGGAAGGUGAGAAAGUCUGUGAGGUAGAAGAUGUCACCAGCUCUUGUUGUGCAGUCAACUUCAUCUUCAACAUUGAAUAAUUAAUUGUUUAAAUUACUGUAUGUUGGAGUGUAAAUACAUAAUGUGGAGGAAUCAACAUUAAUUUUUAAUUAUAUAUAUUUAAAUUAUACCAUGGGGCUGUUUAAUUCUUUAUUCUGAUUGGUUGAGAAAUGUUCCACGAGCAUGCAUUAUUUUUCGAUAACCGCACACCUAACUUGUCAAAUGUCUUAAAAAUAGGCAGCAGAGAAAUGUUUGUGGUAACUGUGGUAUAAGCGGAAUAAUUGACUGCGGUCCUUUGAAUUAUUUGAAAAUAAUGCACACCCGCGGUGUAAGGGCAACCCGCUUCGCGUCAUGCCACAUUACCACCUUGGGUGUGCAUUAUUUUCUUAUAAUUCAAUGGCCUGUCGUCAAUUAUUUCUUACAUAUAUCAAUGAUAUAUUCAUUUACAUUCUGUUAAAUGUUGAAUUAAAUUGUUGAAUGAUUGACUGAAAUAUUAAGGUUGUUUUUUAGAGAAUGUUUUGUCUU